CAGACUCCAGAGGGAGCAGUGCGGAUUAAUAUGCGCUUUUACGGUGAAGACUCUUCGCCUCUCUCCUUGUCAGCUGUGGCCAUCGCUGCUUUGAGUUCAUCACUUCUCACCGGAGCUUACGCUACACCUAUGUCCUACGUCCUCCACUGGAACACCACUCUCUCAUGAACAUGUGUACGACAAUUAGUGGAAGCUAUAGAGGUUACAGUUUAUAGAGUUUUAAUUAUGGACAUUUUGUAACACAAACACUUUGCUUUGCUUCAGAAGACCUUUUAAUCACCCAGAGCCAUGUGAAGUACUUUUUGUGAUGGAUGGACACAAUUUAUUUGACUUCUAUGGGACUAUUGAAUAUUACCACCCAUUUACUGCCAUUAUAAACCCUGGAAGAACCAGAGCAUUUUUAAUACAGCUCUGACUGUAUUCGAAAGAAGAAAGCCAAAUACACCUAGGAUGACUUGAGGCUUUUUGGAAUAAACUGCACAUCAACAUGACCCUGAAUAUAAAUAAAUGAAUAGCAGCAGUUUUUCUACGAAUUAUGAUCAAGCAGUCUUCAACAGGGAUGUUGCUCAGCUCAUUUGUGACUAUCUCCUGGAGAGCAGUGAUGAGUGUUCAAAAUUAUACAAUACAACAAAGCCGUGGAGGGAAAUGUGCGGUCCAGUUUUUGACUCACAGAGGAACCUGAAGAGACUGGCAGAGGACAUAUGGCUCAUACCCCCUGUAGUUGGGCCAUAGCGUUCUCUGAUGUGGCUGAUUACACAUCAACAUCCAGAACAAAGAGAGCAAAACAGAGAGCACUCCAUGUGGUCAAGCAUGCGUGACAGUCCUUAAUUAUCAAAGGUUGGA